rnacentral:tRNA from 1 species
GGAAAUGUGGCUUAGUGGUAGAGUGCUUGCCUAGUACGCAUGAAGCCCUGGGUUCGAUUCAUCAGUACCA